CAGUCGCCGCGGUAAUACGGAGGGGGCUAGCGUUGUUCGGAAUUACUGGGCGUAAAGCGCACGUAGGCGGCUUGGUAAGUUAGAGGUGAAAGCCUGGAGCUCAACUCCAGAAUUGCCUUUAAGACUGCCGAGCUAGCAGGUGAGAGAGGUAAGUGGAAUUCCGAGUGUAGAGGUGAAAUUCGUAGAUAUUCGGAAGAACACCAGUGGCGAAGGCGGCUUACUGGCUCAUACUGGACGCUGAGGUGCGAAAGCGUGGGGAGCAAACAGGAUUAGAUACCCGGGUAGUCCCUGUCUCUUAUAC
rnacentral:rRNA from 1 species